GACUGUACGACUCAGUUCUUUAAGGAAGCCUCUCAUCACUAGACAAGUUUAAUUCCUCAUGAUUUAAUCUAAUGAUUUUGUACGCCGAACCUCUUCCUUCUUUUUUUUUUUUUUUUUAAUUUUUUAACGUUUAUUUCUUUUUCACAGAGACAGAGCAUGAGCAGGGGAGGGGCAGAGAGACAGGGAGACACAGAAUCUGAAGCAGAACUUCUUCCUUCUUAAUGUACUUCACACUUCACUUUCCAGAAACAAUUCCUGAUGGAAACAGAAGAGACAUUGGCCAUGGACACGUGUCUAGUUUAACCUGCGCUUCCGGAGCAAGGUUGACAGCAAUUACUACUCGCAGCCCUUCAGCUUUGUCUCCGGACACGCAGCUCCCUCAUCUAUCUUUCAAAAGCACAGGUCUUAUCAUGUUACACCUCCCACCUCCUGUCUUAAAAAAUAGAGCAUUAAGCCAGCUGAGAAAUCUCCAAGGUCAUUUCAAGGACUGA
rnacentral:lncRNA from 1 species